GUCACUCAGGACAUUACAAAGGAGCUCUGUGUCAGAAGCUAGGAUUAAAGAACAAAUACAGAACAAAUUAUUCCUCCAGCACCCCUACUGCAAGGAUUUUAAGAACUCUAUCUCAGGAUAAAGACCUGAGGCCCAAGGAAGACGAAGAGAUAUCUGAAUGGCCUGGACAUGGCAUGUAAAAAUGACUCAGCCAACAGCUGGAAAGAAGCUGCUGGCCUUCAGGUCACAAGAUGUACAUUGCUGGCCUCAGCUGGAUUUUCCCAGGGUCAGGUGCCCAUUCCUACCUAAUCAAAGGACACUUCUGCUGACCUGCACCUAGAAUACCCUGUUCUGUGCUGAUGACUCAGAUGUAAGAAUGAUGAAGUGCAUCGGCUGGCAUGCAGAGAACAAUAAGAAAAAGAACUGAGUUGUGGGAAGACAUGAGGAAAGGACAUGAGGCUCUUAAUAACAGCUGCCAAGUACUGCAGUCGGGAAUCUGGAGCAAAGUGAUUCAAUUCUGACCACUGCCUGUGAGUAAAUGGGAUUUUAUUUUUCAAUACUUUUGUUUAAUAGUACCUCCUUCAUUACAUGUGAACAGCACUCCAGGACAGUAAAUCAUGAAAUGGGAAUAAAGCCUGUAAUUUUAAUUAACAUAUUUUAAAAUGUUUCUAAUUUGUAUGCAUUUGAUCAAAUUUUCAUUUGCAUUGAGCUAUUUUUUUUCUUUCUCAUGUAAUGUUUGACAUUACCAUUUCUUUCUUUAAUGAAAUACUAAUAUUUAAUAAAAUAUAUUACAUCCU
rnacentral:lncRNA from 1 species